rnacentral:tRNA from 1 species
GCCUUCGUGGUGUAACGGCAGCACACGUGGCGUGCAUUCAAGAGGCUCAGGUUCGAGUCCUGGCGAGAGCA